rnacentral:rRNA from 1 species
CUACGGGACGCUCCAGUGAGGAAUAUUGCACAAUGGAGGAAACUCUGAUGCAGCAACGCCGCGUGGAGGAUGACACUUUUCGGAGCGUAAACUCCUUUUAUAUAGGAAGAAGGUGACGGUACUAUAUGAAUAAGCGCCGGCUAACUCCGUGCCAGCAGCCGCGGUAAUACGGAGGGCGCAAGCGUUACUCGGAAUCACUGGGCGUAAAGAGCGUGUAGGCGGAUUAAAAAGUCAGAAGUGAAAUCCUAUAGCUUAACUAUAGAACUGCUUCUGAAACUCUUAAUCUAGAAUAUGGGAGAGGUAGAUGGAAUUUCUGGUGUAGGGGUAAAAUCCGUAGAGAUCAGAAGGAAUACCGAUUGCGAAGGCGAUCUACUAGAACAUUAUUGACGCUGAGACGCGAAAGCGUGGGGAGCAAACAGGAUUAGAUACCCCGGUAGUC